AUUGAACGCUGGCGGCAUGCUUUACACAUGCAAGUCGAACGGUAACAGGCCGCAAGGUGCUGACGAGUGGCGAACGGGUGAGUAAUGCAUCGGAACGUGCCCAGUCGUGGGGGAUAACUACUCGAAAGAGUAGCUAAUACCGCAUACGAUCUAUGGAUGAAAGCGGGGGACCGUAAGGCCUCGCGCGAUUGGAGCGGCCGAUGUCAGAUUAGGUAGUUGGUGGGGUAAAGGCUCACCAAGCCAACGAUCUGUAGCUGGUCUGAGAGGACGACCAGCCACACUGGGACUGAGACACGGCCCCGACCCCUAAGGGAGGCCGGAGUGGGGAAUUUUGGACAAUGGGGGGAAGCCUGAUCCAGCAAUGCCGCGUGCAGGAAGAAGGCCUUCGGGUUGUAAACUGCUUUUGUACGGAAAGAAACGGCUCUGGUUAAUACCCGGGGCUAAUGACGGUACCGUAAGAAUAAGCACCGGCUAACUACGUG
rnacentral:rRNA from 1 species